rnacentral:rRNA from 1 species
UACGUAGGGGGCAAGCGUUGUCCGGAAUCACUGGGCGUAAAGGGCGCGUAGGCGGCAUGCCAAGCGUGUGGUGAAAGCCCGGGGCUCAACCCCGGGUCGGCCGUGCGGACUGGCGUGCUUGAGCACUGUAGGGGCGGGUGGAAUUCCGGGUGUAGCGGUGAAAUUCGUAGAUAUUCGCAAGAACACCAGUAGCGAAGGCGGCUCACUGGCCCGGUACUGACGCUGAGGUGCGAAAGCGUGGGGAGCAAACAGG